CCUACGGGGUGCAGCAGUGAGGAAUAUUGGUCAAUGGACGAGAGUCUGAACCAGCCAAGUAGCGUGAAGGAUGACUGCCCUAUGGGUUGUAAACUUCUUUUAUAUGGGAAUAAAACGUUCCACGUGUGGGAUUUUGUACGUACCAUAUGAAUAAGGAUCGGCUAACUCCGUGCCAGCAGCCGCGGUAAUACGGAGGAUCCGAGCGUUAUCCGGAUUUAUUGGGUUUAAAGGGAGCGUAGGUGGAUUGUUAAGUCAGUUGUGAAAGUUUGCGGCUCAACCGUAAAAUUGCAGUUGAAACUGGCAGUCUUGAGUACAGUAGAGGUGGGCGGAAUUCGUGGUGUAGCGGUGAAAUGCUUAGAUAUCACGAAGAACUCCGAUUGCGAAGGCAGUUCACUGGACUGCAACUGACACUGAGGCUCGAAAGUGUGGGUAUCAAACAGGAUUAGAUACCCCAGUAGUC
rnacentral:rRNA from 1 species